rnacentral:rRNA from 1 species
UACGUAGGGUGCGAGCGUUGUCCGGAAUUAUUGGGCGUAAAGAGCUUGUAGGCGGUUUGUCGCGUCUGCUGUGAAAUCUCAAGGCUCAACCUUGAGCUUGCAGUGGGUACGGGCAGACUAGAGUGUGGUAGGGGAGACUGGAAUUCCUGGUGUAGCGGUGAAAUGCGCAGAUAUCAGGAGGAACACCCGGUGGGCGAAGGCGGGGUCUC